UCCACCUGUCCCCAAUCUGCAAAUAAAAGCACAAACACAGAGAAGGAGGCGGGGAGAGCAAGGGGGGUGUAACAGUGUAGAGAAAAAUACAAACAUCCCAUUGUCGUACAGACCCUUGGUUCACUAGCCAGGUUGAAGAUCUUCAGCAAGCUCAAUGCAAACAUGGGCUUCUGGCAGAUCCCGCUAACCGAGGAGUCAGUUAAGCUAACAACCUUCAUCACACCUUUCGGGCAUUACUACUUCAACCGUCUGACUUUCGGUAUCGCUUCAGGGCCUGAACACUUCCAAAACAGAAUGGUGACAGAGGGUACUGAAGGCCUAAAAGGUGUGGUAUGUCUUAUAGAUCAUGUUUUUGUUUGAUUGUCAAAUACAGGAGGAGCAAGAUGCAAGACUUCAUACCUCAUUGCAGAAGAUGGAAAAAGCCGGCUUAACUCUGAACAUGGACAAAUGUGACCUGUCAAUGCAGGAAGGGAAGUUCCUGUGCCUCAUUAUCUUGGACAAAGGAGUACAGCCUGACCGACAAAGACAGAGGCUGUCAAGGAGAUGGCGGAGCCAUCCAAAGUCGGCGAGCUGCGGAGUUUCCUAGGAAUGGUGAACCAGCUGGGAAAGUUCAUCCCUCAGUUAGCAGAAAAGGACAAACCUCUGAGACCUACUCUCAAAGGAAAAACACUGGUACUAGGGGGGCCGACCAAGUCAGAGCCUUCAAAGAGCUGAAGGAGCUGACAUCCACACCCGUGCUAGCCCUGUAAGUCCCAAACAAAGAGAUCAAGGUGUCAGCCGAUGCAUCUUCCUACGGACUAGGAGUAGUGCUGCUGCAGAAGAAUAGCGAGGAAUAUAGACCCAUUGCCUACACUUUCCGGUCUCUCACACCGACUGAGCAGAGAUAAGCUCAAGUGGAAAAAGAAGCUCUGGGGCUGACAUGGGCAUGUGAAAGACUCAUAGACUUUCUCAUUGAUCAACACUUUGUUGGAAACUGAUCACAAACCUCUCCUGAGUCUUCUGGGGAACUAACCCUACGACAACCUUCCCCCACGUAUCCAACACUUAAGGAUGAGACUUAUGAGGUACUCCUACAGGAUUGCUCAUGUCCCUGGAAAGAGUCUGUGAAACUGCAGACACGCUGUCACAUGGGCCAGUCAAAGCCAAAGCUACUGCUGCGGAAAAGGAGCUCAUGGAGUGCACAAAUAUCUAUGUAGAUGCGAUCAUAAAACAGCUUCCAGUGAGUGUUUCCUACAUGGAUAAUAUGAGAGAACAACUCAAAGCCAACAGUGUGCGCUCAAAAGUCAUGACAAUGUGUCAGGAAGGAUGGUCUGAAUGCAAAGGACCACUGAAACUGUACUGGGCAGAACAUGCUUUUCUCACAGUGCACAAUGGUCUCCUGUUGAAAGGAACAAGAACAUUCCAUCAGCCUUACAAAAUGAUGUCCUCACUAAGCUACACGAGGGUCAUCAAGGUGUGGUCAGGUGCAGAGAAUGUGCUCAACAGGCUGUGUGUUGGCCUGGACUCAGCCAGCAACUGAACUAAUUGUGCAUAACUGCAGGACAUGAAUCAAAGAGCACACAAACCACACAGAACCACUCAUACCAUCACUACUUCCUGUGAGACGCUGGCAAAGAUUGGGAGCGGACUUGUUCACUCUGAAAAGCACCACCUACCUGCUAGUUGUGAGCUACUUCUCAAGGUAUGUGGAAAUCACAAACCUGUCACUAACAAAGUCUCUGGACAUCGUACUCCAUUGGAAGUCCAUCUUCGCCCGCCAUGGGGUACCUGAGGUCCUGGUUACGGACACUGGGCCUCAGUUCUCUGGAAGACCCCUUUCUGACUUUGCUGCAGAGUAUGGAUUUUUCCAUGUCACCAGCAGUCCAAAGUUCCCGCAAAGCAACGGAGAUGCGGAACACACCGUUCAGACUGUGAAGAACCUCCUCAAGAAAGCAGCUGACCCUUAGGCCAGCAAAGCAAGGUAUCUGUCAACUCCACUCCAGAAUGGCUUUAACCCGGCGCAACUAAUGAUGGGAUGACAGCUUCGUACCACAGUGCCAACACUCCCAUCGCUGCUAAACCCAUCACACACAAACACAGCUGCGGUCAGCUCAAAGGAAAAGGAGAGAAGGAGUGCAGAUAAGCAACGCUUCAACAAGCAUCACAGAGUCAGCUACCUGAGCAGUGACUGACUAAAAAGUCACGGGAACAGUGCUGAGGGAACAUGCAGCACCACGAUCCUACAUGGUGGAAGUUCCCCAUGGGUCUGUCCGCAGGAACAGACAUCACCCCAUCUCUAUGGAUGGACCUGAGAACAACAACGCUACGCAGGAGAAGAUUGAAGUGUCUUCACCACUCUAACACACAGAAUUGCCAGAUCCAGAACUGUCCUCAGCUUUUCUCCCCAGAACAAAGAAACAGGGUGCCACUUAUAACCCCCCACCCUAGCCUGGGGUUGACCAAUCAGAUGUCCUUGCAGUACAACUGGGCCAAUGACCAAAUAACAAGUAUCCUGCUCCAGACUCAAUGUACAGAAUAUAGCACAUGUAGCCCUGUGUUCAGGACUGACAUUCCACAGAUUCUAAACAGCUGUUGAACUGAAAACCAACUCCUAUUUACAUUGACAAUUCCCUAUUGACCAUUAAUACUCUAUUUAGUUUUUAGUACUCUCGUCCUCUCAUCCUCUGCAUUGUGUAUUUAUCUUCAAAAUAUUCUUAUACCACCAACACACAAGGUAAUCAUGGAUGUACCUGCUACACUCAGAACAAGUUCUGGGCGAGCAUUAGUUAAACCUCAGACUUGACUUAUAGGUCAGCAAACAAGAACAAAAGACUGAGCUUUAAGUAAAAAUUAAAACAACAGCUGACAAGUUGUUACAGUUCUAACUUACCUGUAGGGUAGAUUUGUGUUAAAAGAAGUGAGAGAUGCAUUUUGGGUUCAAGUUUACAGAAAUUAUUUUAUGUUCAUGACUAUGUAAAAUUUUUCCAGAAUAACUAGUCAGGAAGAGAGACAGAAGGGCAGAAUAAUCCCUUGAGGCAGUCUACCCUUUGUUCUCUGAAAAGGGGAGAUGUGGUGUUAUUUGCUUAUUGCAUCCUGAUUGGCCAUAUGCUAAUGCAGACUUGUGGGAAUUUAGGGGUUCACGAGGAAAGCGUCUCUCUCGCCCAUGUGGCUUGUAAUGUGAAGCAACGUCAAGUUAGCAAUACAUUAGCCUUCAUAAAGAUACACGUGAGGACUUAAAGUGGUCCAGGCACACCGUCGUACAGCGGGUGGUGUGGACAGCCCUGUACAUCACUGGGCCCGAGCUCCCUGACAUCCAGGACCUCUACAUCAGGCGGUGUGAAAGGAAGGUCCGGAAAAUUGUUAGACUCCAGCCACCCAAGCCAUAGACUGUUCUCCCUGUUUCCGCAUGGCGAGCGGUACUGGAGCAUCGAGUCUGAUACCAACAGGCUCCUGAACAGCUUCUAUCCCCAAGCCAUGACUGCUAAAUAGCUAACAAAAUGGCUAUACAGACUGUCUGCAUUGACCCUUUUAUUUUUGCAGACUAUGCACACUCACAGGACUCUACACACUCACUCACACACACAAACUCAUACUGACACUCCAACACACAUACACACACUCACACAAACACACUUGAUUUGGCCACGCACACACAUUCAUGCUGACUCUACACACACUUACACACACUCACUCACAUAAGAUCAUCAUAUAUGCUGUUGCUACUCUGUUUAUCAUACAUCCUGAUGCCUAGGCACCUUAUCCCGAUACAUACCUACCUACCCUUACCACUCCAGUAUCCCUGCACAUUGUAAAUAUAGUAUUGGCACUGACCCUGGAACUGACGCUGUAUAUAGCUUACUUACUUUCUUGUGUUCUUUCUGAUGUGUUUUUGUUCUACUUUAAUUUGUUUUAUAGUACUACUGAUUUUGAGUACUGCAUUGUUGGGAAAGAGCAAGAAAGGCAUUUCACUGUACUUGUGCAUGUGACAAUAAAACAUGAAACUUAUUCGCAAGUAAGUACCUUCUGUGCAUAGGCCGAGUACCUCCAGGGGUCCAUCUAGGCUAGCCCAGGUUGAGAACCACUGGUGUAUAAUGCAUUUUUUAAAAUCAGGCUUGGGAAGUGGACUCAAAAGGUCAUUAAAGCACAUCUCCUUGUCUGUACACACCUGCACUAUCUCUCCCUGCUGUCAGUCCCUACAGAAGGGAGUGUGUUUUGGUGUGGUGUAGCCUCAGGCAGGGUGUGGGAAAGCCUGUUUGAAUCCAGCAGAUUACUGGAUUCUCUUUAGCCUGUCCACCACACCCAUCCUGACAGACACACACACACACGCGCAUUUAAGACUUCUUACUUAAUCUAAAAAACAUGAACAUACACACACACACACACAAACACAGCGAAUGACUUACUCACACUCAAACAAAAAGACAGACAAGAACACAGACAUGCACACACACACACCUACCUGAAACAGUCAUCCGGACUCGAUAAACCAACCAACCAACAUACCCAGAUGACAUAUUGUCCUCAUUGUCUUACAGGAAUUAUUGCACAAUUACAGUGAUAAUUAAAUAUGUUCUACACUCUUGUGGCUUUGAGUCAAUGACUCUUAUCAUGGAGUGAAAUUCAGAUAAUCUCAUAUGACUACAUUGAUUACAGUCACGUCAUCUCAAAUGAUUACAUUUCCUGUGUAGCGUGCCCGUUCUUUGAUGACACAAGUGCUCAUUGUCCCAGGUUGUCAGUACUCUGUGGGGACAGAAGAAGUCCUGAAGACUGCUCCUAUCCCAGCCAGGCACCCAUGCCUGGCACAUAAUGUGCAAUGGAUGGGAUUGGACUAAUUCACUUAACAGCCAUUGUUUUUACAACAGCCUAACCCAUUCUAUAGCAUCUACUGUACACUGUGUGUCACUGAAGAAAGCAACAAGGCUUUGGGCCUAAUUCAUUACAUUUGCAUAAUGUUAGACAAAGAAAGACAUCCGUUUGAGUACUGAGUACUCCUCUCUUUGUUUAGGUUGAUUUUAAAGUGAAAGUGAUCAUGACAUUGACCUAAAUAUGCCGAACUAAUAAUAAAAC
rnacentral:lncRNA from 1 species